GCCCGAGUGGGGUAGUUUGGAUAUCCUAGAGGCCUGCGGAGCCUCGGACCUGGGUUCGAAUCCCAGCUCGGGCG
rnacentral:tRNA from 1 species